UACGUAGGUGGCAAGCGUUGUCCGGAAUUAUUGGGCGUAAAGCGCGCGCAGGUGGUUUCUUAAGCCUGAUGUGAAAGCCCACGGCUCAACCGUGGAGGGUCAUUGGAAACUGGGGAGCUUGAGUGCAGAAGAGGAAAGUGGAAUUCCAAGUGUAGCGGUGAAAUGCGUAGAGAUUUGGAGGAACACCAGUGGCGAAGGCGACUUUCUGGUCUGUAACUGACACUGAGGCGCGAAAGCGUGGGGAGCGAACAGG
rnacentral:rRNA from 1 species